CUACGGGUGGCUGCAGUAGGGAAUAUUGCGCAAUGGGCGAAAGCCUGACGCAGCGACGCCGCGUGAGUGAUGAAGGUCCUCUGGAUUGUAAAGCUCUGUAAGGAGGGAAGAACCGCCUGGUGUAACGGCCAGGUCUGACGGUACCUCCAAAGUAAGCACCGGCUAAAUAAGUGCCAGCAGCCGCGGUAAUACUUAUGGUGCGAGCGUUGUCCGGAAUGACUGGGCGUAAAGGGUGCGUAGGCGGACUUUCAAGUCAGGUGUGAAAUCCCCGGGCUUAACCUGGGAACUGCGCUUGAAACUGGGAGUCUAGAGUAUGUGAGGGGUUAGCGGAAUUCCCGGAGUAGCGGUGAAAUGCGUAGAGAUCGGGAAGAACACCGGUGGCGAAGGCGGCUAACUGGCACAUGACUGACGCUGAGGCACGAAAGCGUGGGGAGCGAACGGGAUUAGAUACCCCUGUAGUC
rnacentral:rRNA from 1 species